GGGGUGUAUAGCUCAGUGGUAGAGCAUUCGACUGCAGAUCGGAAAUGUCCCCGGUUUUUAAACCCGGGUAACCCCA